UACGUAUGGUGCAAGCGUUAUCCGGAUUUACUGGGCGUAAAGGGAGCGCAGGCGGCGCGCCAAGUCUGAUGUGAAACCCCGGGGCUCAACCCCGGGCAUGCAUUGGAAACUGGCGGGCUGGAGUGCCGGAGAGGUAAGCGGAAUUCCUAGUGUAGCGGUGAAAUGCGUAGAUAUUAGGAGGAACACCAGUGGCAAAGGCGGCUUACUGGACGGCAACUGACGCUGAGGCUCGAAAGCGUGGGGAGCAAACAGG
rnacentral:rRNA from 1 species